GAUGAACGCUAGCGAUAGGCCUAACACAUGCAAGUCGAGGGGCAGCAUAGAGUAGCAAUACUUUGAUGGCGACCGGCGCACGGGUGAGUAACACGUAUGCAACCUACCUACAUCAGGGGAAUAACCCGGAGAAAUUCGGACUAAUACCGCAUAAUACAGGGAUGCCGCAUGGCAAUAUUUGUUAAAGAUUUAUCGGAUGUAGAUGGGCAUGCGUUCCAUUAGCUAGUUGGUAAGGUAACGGCUUACCAAGGCAACGAUGGAUAGGGGAACUGAGAGGUUUGUACCCCACACUGGAACUGGGACACGGACCAGACUCCUACGGGAGGCAGCAGUGAGGAAUAUUGGUAAAUGGACGAGAGUCUGAACCAGCCAAAUCGCGUGAAGGAAGACUGCCCUACGGGUUGUAAACUUCUUUUGUACAGGAAUAAAAGACAUUACGUGUAAUGUAUUGCAUGUACUGUACGAAUAAGCAUCGGCUAACUCCGUGCCAGCCGCCGCAGUAA
rnacentral:rRNA from 1 species